rnacentral:tmRNA from 1 species
GGGGACGACUGGUUUUGACAGCGAGAUUAGUUAAAAAGUAAGCAUGUCGAGUGAUGAAAUAGUACUCGUAAAUCUCAAUUUCAAUUUUUUUACACGGCGAAGAUAACUACGCUUUGGCUGCUUAAUCCGAAUUACAGUAGGAUGAGCCUCGGUGCACAAGGUGCACAAGCUAAAUGUCUCAUGAAAGCCUUGGUUAGCGGCGUUCAGUAUAGAGGCAUCGUAAAUGUUAACAUAGAAAGGUAAGCAUCUCGAUUACUUUUUGAAACUUAAGAGAAUAAGCUUUUUGUGGAUUGUUUUUAAUCAGCUCUAAGUCGAAAAUUAAGAAAAAACUAAGCAUGUAGAAGGCCUUUUGGCAACUUGUUUGGACCCGGGUUCGAUUCCCGGCGUUUCCACUA